ACGCACACCUUUCUCACUCUCUCCCUCUCGGUCUGCCUCUCUCGUCUCUCUCACUCUCACUCGGCUGAGGUCGGCGCCGCCUCCGGCGCGCCGCCUCGCCGUCGUCUCGUCCCCUCUCUUUUCACUCCCUCGGUCUCCUCUUCCCUCUCUCUCGCUGGUACAGUCGCCUCCGCCUCCUUCGCGUGCCACUACCGCCUCCGCCGUGGCCAAGCACGGCGCCGCCUGAUCUUCCUCCUUCGGCUCCUGCUCGGAAAAGUGCGCGGGUAGCCUCCUCUCCAUCCCCUCAUCUGGAACAGGGCAUCUGCCCUCUCCGCCAUAGGGAGCGCACGGCCGCCGUCUGGUCGCCUCCUCCGUCGUCCGUCUGGCUGGAGUCGCGGUGGAGGCCGAGCCUUGCCUCGCCGGGAAGGAACAGCUCGUUGCUCCCGCCGCCGUGUCGCCGCUGCCGAUGCCGCCGCGUCGUCGUCACUGGAGAAGAUGAGUCCUCCCUUCUCUCUCUCUCUCUUCCCUUUUUUUUAAAACUGAAAUCCUAACCAUCUCUCUUUCUACCCUCUUCUCUCUCGUUUUUGGCAGGACAAGGGCUAGGCGGCUGUGCCGCCGCCGUUGCCGGCGUCGAGCAGCUACCGGCUGCUCAUACCCUUCUCACUAUUCCCGGUUACACACUCAAGACAGAGACACAAAAAGGCCCAAUUUCAGUCCAGAUUCACAAGUAUAGCAAAGCUAGGGUUUUGUUUAGAAAUCUGUUCUUUCAUCAUUCAUUUAUCAUUUUCUUAGCAAAAUCAAACCUUGUAAAUGUAAUAGCUUAGAAAAUAUAUUAACAUGUGUGCGUGCGUAUUCUUCUGUUCUUUGAUGCUUGAAUCGAAAUUAACAAGACAGAGUGGAGAGGAAUUGGAGUAACCUUGAUAUGAGUAGGAAAUGAGGAAAAUCUUCUUUCUGAAUUCACCAAAAUUGGAUCUGCGAAUUUAUUCA